rnacentral:rRNA from 1 species
UACGUAGGGGGCUAGCGUUGUCCGGAAUCAUUGGGCGUAAAGCGCGUGUAGGCGGCCCGGUAAGUCCGCUGUGAAAGUCGGGGGCUCAACCCUCGAAUGCCGGUGGAUACUGUCGGGCUCGAGUACGGAAGAGGCGAGUGGAAUUCCUGGUGUAGCGGUGAAAUGCGCAGAUAUCAGGAGGAACACCGAUUGCGAAGGCAGCUCGCUGGGACGUUACUGACGCUGGAGACGCGAAAGCGUGGGGAGCAAACAGG